CAAAAUCCUCCUCACCCCGGGAGGCACCGGGGGCAUCACACCCCCCCAUCCCCAGCACAUCCCUGCAGGAAUCACAGUUUCCCACUCCUGCCCCAGCUGCUUUGCAGUAUCUGACAGUUGCUAUUAAAACUUUGAACCUUUUGUGCUGCAAUACCACAUUUCACCUGUCCCUGGGUGCUUUACAUAUAUAAAUAUGUUCCCAGGAACAGGUUGUUUUCUGGGCAGGUGUGUGUGGUUGGACUACUCAGAAAAUACUCAGAUACAUCUACACUGCAGCUUUUUAUGAAAGGUUUCAGAACAUUGUUUCCAAUCGAAAUUAUGGGCUGUUGUUACUGAUUAAGGGAAAUAAACCAGAUGUGACGCCUCUUGCUUCAGAGCAGACACGUAAAACUGGAUCUUCCCCAUUCUGAGUUUAUCAAAUCGCUAAAUUACCCACUUCUGUGACCCAGUAAAGGUUUUGUUCUGAUUUUGAAGUGGUUUGCUUUCCUGAAACACUCCUGGAAGUCUGUUUCUCUCUGCCUUCUGAUUUCUUUGUAAUGUCUGUUCCCUGGGGGAGCAGACCUGCUGUGCCCCCCCAGCCUCCGCUCUGCCCAUUGCUGUCCUGCUUUCCCACAACUGGCCAUGUUUUCCUUCUUGGUUUCCUACUGCUGCUUCCUCCCCAGCAAUAUUCCAGCCCUUAAUACACCGCUUUGCCCCUUUUGAGUUAUCAAGGGUUUUAUUCAUAACACCUCCAUGCACCAUGUGAGCAAAAAUGUGAUUUUGUUUUUAUUAGUUUCCAGCAGGCCUUGAGCUCCUGUGUGCUGUGCAUUUUUCCAGGUUAAACCUUUUCUCCUUCGGUUUGUCUUACUGUGGCGUGGAAGGCAAAAGGUAUUAAUAGCACUUGCUCUGAAUUUCUGACUGCAUGUGCCAAUGGCAGGUCCCUCCAGGAUACAUUAUAGGAGGAACGUGAGGGUAGUUAAGACACUGUCUUUAUUGCUGUAAUUGUGUAAGUAUGUGGAGCUAUUAGGCUCCUCUUUGCACGUGGAAUGAGGGAGCUGGUUGCGGUUCCCUUGCAGAACAAGCCGACCUGUGCAGGGGCAGCUCCGGGCACUUCCCUCUCUGCACAAGGAGGGAUGUGCAAGUGCUGUAGGAACAAUCGCUGCUGUUCGCACUAAAACCUGGUAAGUUCGGCGUCUGGCGAACUGUCCGGUGUGAGCAGUUGAAAUCUGAUUUACACAGUUGCUCACCGAGGGGUUUCUCCGAGCUGAGGUGAAGGAUGGUGCUGCUCCGCAGGUGCUGGGGCAGCGCUUGGCUUCUCCUCUCCCACGGAGGAGAAAUUCAUCCCGUUCUGUAUACACAGAGUUUAUUAAACCAUGACAGUUGUAUAAAUUAAUUUUUAUGACCUGCCGUAUUUAAUCUUAUUAAAUAGCUGCUUUAGGAGCCUGUUCCCUGGUGUAAGAGGAUUAAACUGUUCCAGACUUUGUUUGCACUGCAACACAGAAUUAGCUUAAUGCAAGUUCCAUUGAAUUUUUUUCUAACUUAUCUUUGGAGAAGCGUUUAAGCGCAAUUAAUUCCUGACCAAUCUGCUGAGUUACAGUGAUAUUGUGUGCUGGAGUUUUUGCUUCUCCUGUGAAUCUGGACCUGUUGGAAUGAGUCCAGAGGAGAGCACGAGGAUGCUCGGGGGGCUGGUGCAUCUCUGCUAUGGGACAGGCUGGGAGUCGGGCUUGUCCAGCAGGCUCCAGAGAGACCUUAGAGCACCUUCCAGUACCUGAAGGGACCUACAGGAAAGCUGGAGAGGGACUUUCUACAAGGGGCUGUAGUGACAGGACAAGGGGUGAUGUCUGGGUCUGCGGGUGCUGUUCCCCUCUUAAAUCACUCAGAUAUUUUCCUUCUAAAAUGCAAACUGUAAUAAACAGGCGGCAUCGAGCUGCUGAAACAAAGAUGCUUUAAAAACAAAACCCAGAAAAGUAGCACAGAGGCACUGAGAGUUUAAAAUCCCUCAUGCUUGUUGUUAAUGUAACUUUGCACUUCUUUCCGUAUAAGAAAAAUGAAAUUUCUACCAGUGUAGUAUUGGCACAAUAUAAUAAAAUCAAACUAUCUCAACAAAACCAUUGCCACAGAAGGUUCAAAAGCAGAAAAUGAAUGUGGUUUGAGGUGGUGUCAUUGUGGCUGUGCGGUACGCGUACAAUUCAAGAAAACCUACUCGUUUACUUUUUCUUCACCUGAAAACAAUUUUGAAGAAAAAAAGUGGGACACUACAAACAAUUCCUUAAUAUAUCUGAAUUCAGCUGCUCCUCCUGCUAGUUCAGGAUAACUCUCGAGGUUGCUUAAUUAAGAGUAGAAAUCAGGUGGGUAAAUGGAAGAUGCAACAGCGUGAAAGAAAGCAGCUUUUUACAGGUUGCAGCACUUUUACCUGUUUUCCCAGGCAGCUCAGCUUUCCUGCGGCCAGGGACACUUUAAAGAUGAUCAGCAUGGUUACAUUUGUUGGCUAAAGAUGAGUUUCAAUUUAAUAUUUAGGAGUAGUAUAUGUAAAUUAAUACAAAUCUAAACAAAGUGUUCCAGGUCGAACAUCUCAGCUUUCCAGCUUUACCCAUUUUGAAUUCUAACAUCACUUACAUGAUUAAAGCCUCUUUCCUGGCACGAAGAGAACCCAAACUGAAGUGCAUCCUACUGAAGAAUUAGAAAAUGACCUUUUGAAAUAAUGCAUUAAGUAUCACAUUGUCAGUUCAUCUCUGUUCAUCGGACUGCUGUGCCUUGCAGCUGCUCAAGCACUAGCAGGUAUAUAUGAACCAGGGAUAUUUCACAAUAAAGGGUUAUUUCUUCACCGUUAUUGCUUCCCCAAAGGGCUGUGGGGCAUUGGAACAGGCUGCCCAGGGCAGUGCUGGAGUCACCAUCCCUGGAGGGCUGGACAGACGGACGUGAGGUUCUCAGGACAUGGUUUACUGGUGGACUUGACAGUGUUGGAUUAAAGGCUGGACUUGAUGAUCUUAAAGGUCUUUUCCAAACAAAAUGAUUCUGUGAUUCUGUACAUUACAUUGAUUUUUUGUUUUGUUUUUAAGACAAAACGGAACUGUUUGGUCUAAGAGGAGAUGUCUUGUAUGGUAUUGCUGUGACUGCCAUUGAUAGCAGAACAUCUAGAGUGAAACUGUCCCGGACGCAAGCCCAGGUAGGAGCACAUUGUCUUUUACUCUCUAGAGUGUCCUGUUGGCCAGCAGAGGGGUUAAUGUGCGUGAUCAGUUCUGCUAAGCCGUGCCAUUCGUUCCAGCAGUGAUUAGCACUGGGAAGUGCCACCCCUUGACAUCACUGGCUGUUGGAUUGGGGUGACCCCUCUCUGCACCCCCUGCCCUCCCUGACUGUCCUGCCUGGAUCCUGCUGCACCUGAGGUGCGGGACCUGCUGCCAAAUCAAACGCUAACACCUAUUUCUGUGUAAUGGGGGUGGAAAAUAGGUAUGUACUGUGUGGAAGCACAAUUAGAGUGCUUAACUGCAUCGAUGAGGAGCAGUGCAGAAGAGAGACUUUGCUAGGUGAUUUUUCAGCUCUGUCAUUCAUCAGCUGCGCAGGGUUUAAAGCUCAGAGAAAUGCCAGUCUCAUAUACAUAUCAAAAUCCAUGAAGAUUUGUUUUUUCCCCUUAUUUUCCCCUUCAGCUCUGCAGCAGUGUGAAGGCUGACAUCCCCGUGUAUGCAUAUGCACAAGCUGUAAACCCCCAAAGGCAGCAGAUGCUGCCUUGGAGGAAGCCCAGCUCUGAAAUAAAACAUGAAAUAUUUAUAGAUCGGAACUGAAUGGCUUCCUUGUCCAGGUAUUGAGGGGAGAGCUGUCCUGGGGCUGGGGGGGGAGAUGGGGAGAGCAGCCGCUGGAGCCCGUGGAGCAGCCGCUGGAGGGGCAGAGCUGCUGGGGACCCGGCCAAGGCUGCUCAGUGCGCUGGGGACUGGAAAACAAACAUGGCACCAUCCCGCCCGUUUAAAAAGAAGUUUAGCGAGUUCAAAUAGGACAAUAGGAGAUGGCAGAUAACAUACAAACUUUCAUUUGUUAUGUUUCUGCCAUUCUCUUUCGUAGACUUCUCAAUUUAUUCAUUUAGACUGGUCCUUGCAGAGCUACUGAAUCAAUAUGAUGAUAAUUUUAUGUUACUUGCAUGUAAAAUGUAUAAAAAAAUUGUUGUCUCUUUACAAUAUGGCCAACAUAGAUGUUAUGACAAGGAAUCCCAUUUCUAAAAGUGAUGUUUUGAAUUAACUUCAGAAUUUCAGAGCUGGGUAUGCAUUACUUACAAUAAUUUUAGCACCUUGUGUUUUGCAGCAAUAGCUCUGUUUAUAUUUUGAAUGACUGUAAGGAGAAUCCAGUAAUAUGGACCAAAGUGUCUUGGCUGAUUUUCCAAAGCUCCGUCUCCAUAUUCACAAGGCAGGACGAGGGAAAAGGAGAAAGGAAGUGAGAAGGAAGGUAAAUCCUGUUUUGUAUUUGCUUUCCCUAUGAUCUCUUCUCUUACAGUUUCGGACCAGUUUCUCUCUCUUUGUCUCUCCUUCCUCUUGGCCCACCCUCAUAGAUGGAGGCCAUUCAUGCUACGGGUUGGACACGCUAGAGCCGGCGGUAGGAUGGGAGCACUCACAAAAUAUUGACUUAGUAUUCUUAUUUUGCUUUUCCUGUGCCAGAGAGCACCAUGUUGUGCUCAAACGGGUGUGUGUCUGGAUGAUCUGGAUUUUCUUUGAACCACCCGUGCUCUGGCUGGCGAUGGUGACUGGUGGGCAGGGUGACCAGCCCUGGUGGGAUUGUCCCUGGUCUCCAGACACGCCGUUGGAGCUGUGCCCUCCAUACAGCUCAGCUGGAGGCUGGUUGUGCAUCCUGACUGGGGACAUUGCAUUUAUUCUUGGGUAGUUUUGGCCCAUAAUGCCUUAGCUUGGAAGCAUCGGAUGGGAGAAAAGCUGCGGGGUUCAUUACUGCUCUUGGGGAUGGGGCAGCUUCCUGGGCUUGUUUGAAACACACCAAUUCAUUUUGUCUGCUCUAAGUUUUUCUUUGUUUGCCAGUUUCAAUUGGAAAGAAGCACUGGAUGAUCUCAAUAGGUUCUCCUUGGGUUCAGGCUGAGAGAGAGCUUUCCCAACACUUAUAAUUUCAAAAUGUGAAACUAGAUCAUGCAGAAACAACCGGAGUUGCACUGAAGCACUUCCUAGUUCUGGCUAGACAAAACCAUAAUUUUUUUUUCAAUUUCAUUUCCAUUUCCUUUUACGUCUGGAAUAAAUUCAAAAGUAUGAGAACGAAAAAGGAACUGAUGAGGAUUAGAUGUCAGAUAAGAAACAUGAGGCAGGUUUUCAGGAGCAGCCACGUGUAAUCCCCAUCUCCUCAGUGCUGCUUUUCCGCCUUUCUCAGCCACCUGUGAGUGCCAGAAGAGGGUGAGAACGGUCUGAAGGAUAAAAAUAGAGCCAUCUCGCAGCUUCCCAGUCCCACUUCAAUGUUCCUCACGUUUUGUGGGUUUCCCAAUGUGGUUCUUUGUGAAUUCUCACAUUAACCUGGGUAGCUGGCUGUAAAAGCACUGUCGCUGUGUGUUUGGGUACAGUGUAUUUUUGAAAGCAGAAGUAUGCUUAAGUGACAAACACAUCCGUUUAACAGUGCCAAAUGUCAUUGAAGUCAGUGGGCAGGGUCAGGUCCUGGUGUAUGGAUUUAAACGAACCAGCAGGUUCUUCCACAGCGAUGGAUUGCAGAGCAGAGCUGGCACCAGGCACAGUCCUGGGGUGUUUUCCCAGACAAGCCCCUGAGAUGCUGCUCUCCGUUACCUCCAGGGAUGAUUAAACCGCAUUUAGCUUGCCGUUUCUUAUUCCGCUUCUCCCUUACAGAGACGCACUGUUAGGUGAAUGUCCCCAAGCGACUUGCUGACGUAACCACAAGCAUUUCAGAGGCUUGUGGGUGAGUCGUGUCCCUCUGUGUGCGUGCACGGUCGGAGCAGUGCGGGCUGCGGGGGGCUGGUGUGUAAAUGCAUUAGGAGGAGCAUUAGGAAGAAGUUCCUCCUGGUCAAACCAAUGUCCUUACAGACCAAUGUCCUUACAGCAGAGACUUGGUAUCUUCUAGGCAUCAUUUCCUUUGAUUUUAUCACCUCCACAAUAUAGUUUUGAUUGUGCUUUAUGUACUGGAAUACUCAAAACGCUGUGUAAUGACUACAUUGUUUAAUUUUUCUUCGGAGACUGCACAGUCUGUGGAUGAGACAGAGUUAACUUGUGCAGCACAUCUAUUCUUCUGAAUGAGAACUGAGAUUUUUGUCUUAUUUUAAUGAAACGGCUUUGCAAAAAGUAGAACUGCAUUAAAGUUCAGAGUGGGGGUUUAAUCCUCUAAUAAGUCACUGGGCUAGAAGUGCAACAUGCGGGUGGCUGAGAUGGGGAUGAGCCGUGUGACCCUGGAACGGGGAAUGUGCUGCAGGUCAGUGUGGAGAAAAGGACCCAGUGAGAACAACUCGCUGGGCAGCAAAAACUUUGAUAAAUGUUUUGAGAAAGAAAGACAAACAGCUGUGAUAAGGACAAGUGCAAUCAAGUGAAACUUUUUCAAACCCGUUUUUAUAAUGUCACAAAUGUUUCUUGUAACCUCCUUACAGAGGGAAAGUCACUGGCAGGUGCAGCAAUCACAUCUCGCUGCAACUGGGAGUGAAGUCAGAAAUAUGUUUGGAAGUUUAUUGGCAAUUCUCAAAGCUUUUUAAAGGUACAGUUUAUUCAGAGUUACGUAGAUCUGUAAGUGAUGUCGUUUCACUUGCAGCUUUUAUGUGCUGUUCUCCCAAUUGUUUACUUUAAACUUGAGCAAAUGUUAUGUCUAUCUAAAUCAGCCUGCUGUAUUAAAUCAGGGAAAAAAUACGGUUUCUCUGAGUUUUCAGUCCUGUCAUCCAGCUGCUUGGAUUGACUGUUUGUUUGAAGAAAAGAAAGGAUGGGAAAAAGCUUCCAGAGGAGAAGUGUGUAUUUCUGUAAGAACAGAUAAUUGAUACAAAAGCUUUGGCUUGCCUUCACGUUGUACGACAGUAGCUCUUACAGACAGGCCUUCCAGAACCUGCUCUUUGUGGAAAGAGGAAUGUGUGUUUCUGUUAUAACAAUGAAGUGCAGGGCGGGGGUCACGGCGCAGGAUGUGGAGUGGACAUCGUUGGCAGGAUGUGCAUGAAGGGCAGUAACUAACACUAGGGUAUUUUCAACACUUAAAACCCACUGAUUUUGCUGGUUUAUUUGGUUUCAUGCAGUCUCUAAGUGGGACACAAAGGCAAUGGAAUUUGACUGUACAAUCUACUGCAGGUGACCCUGUUGUAGCGGGUGGGUUGGACUGGAUGAUCUCCAGAGGUCCCUUCCAACCCCAACCAGGUUUUGAUUCUGUGACUUUGCCAGUUGAUCUUCCCGGCAUGGAUCAGUGUUUCAUUAGCCACUGUAUUCACAACCGCCUGUGUUUGGCACGUGGGAGGGGUAUCCCAGCAACGCCAGAGUCCUGCAGGAUCUCACAUGUGUGUCCAAGGCUGGAUCCCCCGGUGCAGUCAGCCAGGGAUGACACCCGCCUGCUUCUGAGAGCUGGAACGGUCUGGUCGGGAUUGGACCAUCGGCCCCGAGCAGAUGGACGUGUGGUCCUCCACGCGGCCCCUGGAUGUGGCACCAGCCUCCCAGGCCGAUGCUGCCCUGAGAGCCCAGCCGCAGAUUUGCUCCCUAUUUAUUCAACAACUUCUUGCAUCACAGCAGGAAGCACUGUGCCACUGCGGCGACACCGGAGGUAAUAGGGGACAGAGAAGAGAGAGGCAUGAUGAAGUGAAAUUCGUCUACUGGAGUAUACAAAGACUAAUCACAAAUAAUACUUUGGCACUCUUACGAGUGUGUUCUGAAUGUCGAAACAAGAACCUUUCUGCAAGUGUGGAUUCAUGAAAACAAAGCUCUUGAAAAGCAGAAAACGAGAGAGUCUCCCAGCUCGGAGUGUCUCAGUGUCACUUGUCACCCUGUUCAUGGGGAAUGAGAGGCAGGGAAAACACAGCGUGAGCAUUAAACACUGCUGUGCAUUUAAAAGAACCAGAAGUUACCAGCUGAAUAAAGUAGGACUUUGCAAUAAUAUUUUCCAGUAAGUGGCCAGUUCUGCUUUGUGUGGUUUAAUUCUGAUCAGACCUUUGGUGUGAGGAGGAUGAAACCCGCAGCCUUUUUGCCAGUAGCUUUGGGGAGCAGGGGUUUGCACCUCAGGUGUGUUCGUGCACCGAGCUGCAGGCUGGUGUCCGGACACGGAGCAGAGGGAUGCGGUGGGUGGCACCGGCCGGUGUCCUGCUCUGCCGCAUUAGCUGUCAGCGAUGCUGAGCUCUCCCAGGGCAGGUUGGUGGUUUGUUGCUGCCUUUGCUCUAGGGGGGUGAAAGCUGCUUGAACCACUGGCUUUUACUCUGCUUUGGUGGAGCGAGAUCAGGUCUGGUGUGCUCUGAGAGGACCGGGCGGUUUUCUAGUAGCCUGAUUCUUUUCAGUAGCAGUUUUGUAAUGGAGGCGAAUCAAUAGACGAGGGACUCCAAAUCUCACCAAAACUGCAGGGGCUGUGGCACAUUCCAUAGCUAGUGUCCAACUAAACCAUGGCACGGAUGGGAGGUGCCUUUAUGGGGACUCAGGUGAGGGGGCAGAGAUGUGUCGGUGAUGCUGCACUAUGUUUUUUAUUUUUACAAACAAGAGAUGACUAAUGCCAGAUGAAUCUCAAAAGAUCUGGAGUUUCAGCUCCCUGUCUCGGAGUGGGGGUGCUUAUUCAUACCUGUGUGACUCACCCUGCCUGGCAGGGCAGGGGGACCGCAGAGCUGAGAGUUCUGCUCCUCCCCACCAGCAGCGUGUGGGGCAGGAGGAGCGGG